rnacentral:rRNA from 1 species
UACGAAGGGGGCUAGCGUUGCUCGGAAUCACUGGGCGUAAAGCGCACGUAGGCGGAUUUCUAAGUCAGGGGUGAAAUCCUGGAGCUCAACUCCAGAACUGCCUUCGAUACUGGGAGUCUCGAGUUCGGGAGAGGUGAGUGGAACUGCGAGUGUAGAGGUGAAAUUCGUAGAUAUUCGCAAGAACACCAGUGGCGAAGGCGGCUCACUGGCCCGAUACUGACGCUGAGGUGCGAAAGCGUGGGGAGCAAACAGG